UGGACCUGUCUGUCUGCCGUGCCAGAUUGUUUGUCAGUUAGUUAAAAAGGAUUUACGUAUAUAAUUUUUUUAAUGGAUUCAUGUGUGGCAGAUACAAUGCUGCUUAUAGUCUCGUUGGGUGUGUUCUACGUAAGGAAUAUAACCCAACAUGGUGUGCUGAAAAUAAUCAACCACGGGGUGGUGUGAUGUGACUGAAUGCAAAUCAGAAUGCUGACACUCCUUCCAAAUGAACGUCUCCUUACAGAAACCUUCACCAUAUCAAUGAUUAUAUUUUUUCUUUAUUAAAUAACAACACAUUUUUAA